rnacentral:rRNA from 1 species
UACGAAGGGGGCUAGCGUUGCUCGGAAUCACUGGGCGUAAAGGGUGCGUAGGCGGGUCUUAAGUCAGGGGUGAAAUCCUGGAGCUCAACUCCAGAACUGCCUUUGAUACUGAAGAUCUUGAGUUCGGGAGAGGUGAGUGGAACUGCGAGUGUAGAGGUGAAAUUCGUAGAUAUUCGCAAGAACACCAGUGGCGAAGGCGGCUCACUGGCCCGAUACUGACGCUGAGGCACGAAAAGCGUGGGG